rnacentral:rRNA from 1 species
CUUGAACGCUGGCGGCAGGCUUAACACAUGCAAGUCGAGCGGGGGAAGGUAGCUUGCUACCGGACCUAGCGGCGGACGGGUGAGUAAUGCUUAGGAAUCUGCCUAUUAGUGGGGGACAACAUCUCGAAAGGGAUGCUAAUACCGCAUACGUCCUACGGGAGAAAGCAGGGGCUCUUCGGACCUUGCGCUACUAGAUGAGCCUAAGUCGGAUUAGCUAGUUGGUGGGGUAAAGGCCUACCAAGGCGACGAUCUGUAGCAGGUCUGAGAGGAUGAUCCGCCACACUGGGACUGAGACACGGCCCAGACUCCUACGGGAGGCAGCAGUGGGGAAUAUUGGACAAUGGGGGAACCCUGAUCCAGCCAUGCCGCGUGUGUGAAGAAGGCCUUAUGGUUGUAAAGCACUUUAAGCGAGGAGGAGGCUCUUUUGGUUAAUACCCAAGAUGAGUGGACGUUACUCGCAGAAUAAGCACCGGCUAACUCUGUGCCAGCCGCCGCAGUAA